rnacentral:rRNA from 1 species
UGGUUUAAUUCGAUGAUACGCGAGGAACCUUACCCGGGCUUGAAUUGCAGAGGAAGAAUUUGGAGACAAUGACGCCCUUCGGGGUCUCUGUGAAGGUGCUGCAUGGUUGUCGUCAGCUCGUGCCGUGAGGUGUCGGCUUAAGUGCCAUAACGAGCGCAACCCCUCUCCUUAGUUGCCAUCAGGUCAAGCUGGGCACUCUGGGGACACUGCCACCGUAAGGUGUGA